AUGAUGCUGCACCAGCUGGAAAGGGGGGUCAGCCCCAAAGACCCCCAAAAUCCACCCAAAAUCCCCCCAAAACCAAACCCCCAAAUUCCCCAAAUUCCCCUAAAAAAAUCCCAUGGGAUGCUCCAAACCCCCAAACCCCCCAAAAUCCCCAAAAUCCCCCAAAUCCCCCUAAAAAUGAUGAUGCUGCACCAGCUGGAAAGGGGGGUCAGACCCCAAAGACCCCCAAAAUCCACCCAAAUCCCCCCAAAUCCCCCCAAAAAUAGACCCACAGCACACCCCAAACCCCCAAAUCCCCCCACGACCCCCCAAAACCCCCCCAGGACACCCCAAAUCCCCCAAAAUCCCCCAAAAUCCCCCCAAACACCCCAAAAUCCCCCCAAAUCCCCCCAAAACACCCCCGAGGACAACCCAAACCCCCCAAAAUCUCCCCCAAGUCCCCCCAGGACACCCCAAACCCCCCCCCCAAAACACCCCAAACACCCCAAAUCCCCCCCAAAUCCCCCCAAACCCCCCCCAGGACACCCCAAAUCCCCCAAAAUCCCCUCCAAAUUCCCCCAGGACACCCCAAACCCCCCCCCAAACCCCCCAAAAUCCCCCCAAAAUCCCCCCCAAAUCCCCUCACGACUCCCCAAAACCUCCUCAGGACACCCCAACCCCCCCCAAAAUCCCCCUGAAUCCCCCCAAAAUCUCCCCGAAUCCCCCCAAACACCCCUCCUGGACACCCCAAAACCCCCCAAAAUACCCCAAAUCCCCCCCAAACCCCCCCGGGACCCCUCCUCACGUUUUCCUGUCGGCCACGCUCGGCGCCACCAGCUCAUAGAUCUGAGCCCCGUCCUCCCAGCUGGCGAUGACGUAGAACGCUUUGUGGUCUGGGGGCGAAAUUGGGGGGCUGGGGGCACCCCGGAGUGGGACACCCCAAAAACACGGCCCGGGACCCCCAGAAAUGGGAUUGGGGGGAUCCUGGACAGGGAGACCCCCAAAAAACAGCCCAGGACCCCCAGAAAUGGGAUUGGGGAGACCCCAGCCCAAGACCCCCCCCAAAAAACACAGCCCGGGACCCCCAGAAAUGAAACUGGGGGGACCCCGGACCGAGAGACCCCCAAAAAACACAGCCCGGGACCCCCAGAAAUGAGAUUGGGGGGGCUCACGGGGGACCCCAGCCCGAAAAAACAGCCCAGGAGCCCCCCAAAAACACAGCCCGGGACCCCCAGAACUGAAACUGGGGGGACUCAGGGGGGACCCCAGCCCGAAAAACAGCCCGGGACCCCCCCAAAACACAGCCCGGGACCCCCGGAAUUGAGAUUGGGGGGACCCCGGAGUGGGAGACCCCCAAAAACCAGGCUGAGACCCCCCAAAACACAGCCCAGGACCCCCAGAAAUGAGACUGGGGGCACCCCGGAGUGGGACACCCCCAAAAACCAGGCUGAGACCCCCCAAAAAACAGCCCGGGACCCCCAGAAAUGGGAUUGGGGGGACCCCGGACCGGGAGACCCCCAAAAACAGCCCAGGACCCCCCCAAAACACAGCCCGGGACCCCCAGAAAUGGGAUUUGGGGGGCUCAGGGGGGACCCCAGCCCAAAAAACAGCCCGGGACCCCCCCAAAACACAGCCCGGGACCCCCAGAAAUGGGAUUUGGGGGGGCUCAGGGGGGAUCCCGGUCUGGGAGACCCCCAAAAACACAGCCCGGGACCCCCAGAAAUGGGAUUGGGGGGGGCUCAGGGGGGACUCUGGCUGCAAAAGUCGGCCCCAAAAGGGCCCAAAUUGGCCCCAAAUCGGCCCCAAAUUAGCCCCGAGUGGGGUUUUGCCCCCCAAAAAUGGUUCUGGCCCCCAAAAAAGGGGUUCUGCCCCUAA
ensembl:lncRNA